UUGGUACAUGUACAUGUUAUCACCUGUAUAGGUAAACACGAGUACAUGUGUGUGUCUUACUUAUCAUUGGUACAUGUACGUGUUAACACCUGUAUAGGUAAACACGAGUACAUGUAAACAAUAACAUAUAUAAAACAUCUGGCGAAAGAAAAUGUUCAACGGCGAAAUCGUGACUGAAGAAGACUGUAUGUCAACGGAAGUACUACAUCAUACAUGUAAUACAUGUAAUUGUAUAUAUAGAUGUGUGUGUGUGACAGUAUAGAAGUCGAAAACUGCUGGGCAAAACAUUGACUAGACAGGCCAGUGGAUAACUAGGGGGUAUAACAUCUUCUCUCGAGGCCAAAUUUGAGGUUUUUUCGUGUGUACCUGAAAUGUUGGCGGGAACUGGAGAUUCUGAGGCUGAUGAAAUGACUAGACAUAUUCCUGACUACACGGCAUUAGAACUGAUGAAAAGCACUAACAGAAUCAGGGACCGGUCUUCAUGUCUAUCUACAUUAACUUGACAGGGAAACCCGUCUAUCAACCCCUUUUGACUUGAGCUGCGAUUUGAGAAAUCCAUCACUGUUGAAAGGACAAGAACAAUACAGGGUUACCAGGUCGAAUAAAUGUCCUACUCUAGAGCACGGAGAAAUUUUCGGGGAGACAAUGUAUUGUAAAGACGGGAGAUAGAGAGAAGACUGGAAAGUAGGAGGGAGAAAACAUCUAAUCUAAGAAAAUGAUCAAACACAACUCUUUUAAUGAAAAUUAUCAUUCUACCGAGGUAUAUUGUACAAAUAAAAACUCCUCGUUCUGAGAGGGAUCAUGUGAUGAGCUUACAGACAGCAAUUCUUUCGAAAUAAAUGGUUUAAGA